GAAAUCUGCAUGGAUUCUGGAAAAGAAAUAAUAGAAUUAGUCAACGCCUUGUAGAGUUUCGGAUGUUAUUUGCCAGCACAGUUGAUGGUGUUUUAUCUCGUCUGUUAUAAAGUACAUGGAUAUUAUCAAAUAUAUGGAAUCAUGGAUGGCUAUUACUAACUUACCCGGUGAGACCCGCACAACCACUUAGUGGACCGCGUAUCUUACACGGUUGACCCAUCUUUCUAACGUACGAAUACAGGGCAGUAAUGCAAGCAAAUAAAGCCUUUGAUCGGCCAAAUAGUGUCGACAACUAUCUAAGCGUCUUGUAAGGUGCAUGAGCUCCACCAACAAAGAUCAAAGACAAGAGUCCGGCAGUUCUGAUGGAAGACCCAUAUUGCUUCCGGUCGUCUGACAAUUCCAAAGUGUUGAUCACUCAGAUGGUCGUGAUGCUAUGAUGAAGCAGCGUACAGUACGUGGAAGAGCAGAUGUGGAAGAGGUAAGUGGACCCCGGACGAGAACGUGGCGCCGGGAGGGAAGCUGGACAUGUGAUCCUCAUUCAAAUGGAGAAUACAGAAUCUGGGAACUAAAACUGGACAGAAGACAUGUUGAAAGUGAGAGGCCGGGAGAAGGGAGUCAGUUGUAUACCAGUUCUAACUUUCAAGAAGGUACAGGAAACUCCAGAGGAUUCCUGUGAAAGGCUGUGUACUAUGUAAAGCGCAAAUUCAGAACACCAAGGCAUCAGCUGGUUACAUGGUCCACACCAGGGAGCAUAAAAAUCUACCAUCCACACUUCAUCUUUAGGUCGUUUUCUAAGCAGCUCGUCAAACGUGUUGUCAGUCAGAGUAAUUACUUUGGGAUUCAA